rnacentral:rRNA from 1 species
CCUACGGGUGGCAGCAGUGGGGAAUAUUGCACAAUGGGGGAAACCCUGAUGCAGCGACGCCGCGUGAGUGAAGAAGUAUCUCGGUACGUAAAGCCCUAUCAGCAGGGAAGAAAAUGACGGUACCUGACUAAGAAGCACCGGCUAACUACGUGCCAGCAGCCGCGGUAAUACGUAGGGGGCAAGCGUUAUCCGGAUUUACUGGGUGUAAAGGGAGCGUAGGCGGGAGAACAAGUCAGAUGUGAAAUCCCGGGGCUUAACCAUGGAACUGCUUUGGAAACUGUUCGGCUGGAGUGCGGGAGGGGUAGGUGGAAUUCCUGGUGUAGCGGUGAAAUGCGUAGAUAUUAAGAGGAACACCGGUGGCGAAGGCGGCUUACUGGACUGUAACUGACGUUGAGGCUCGAAAGCGUGGGGAGCAAACAGGAUUAGAUACCCCUGUAGUC